rnacentral:rRNA from 1 species
UACGUAGGGGCCGAGCGUUGUCCGGAGUUAUUGGGCGUAAAGCGCGCGCAGGCGGCCUCGCGCGCCCGACGUGAAAGCCCCCGGCUUAACCGGGGAGGGUCGUUGGGGACGGCGGGGCUUGAGGGCGGGAGAGGGUGGUGGAAUUCCCGGUGUAGUGGUGAAAUGCGUAGAGAUCGGGAGGAACACCAGUGGCGAAGGCGGCCUUCUGGACCAGCACUGACACUCAAGCACGAAAGCGUGGGGAGCAAACAGG